UGUAUGGUUAAGUGACUAAGCGUACACGGUGGAUGCCUGGGCAGUCAGAGGCGAUGAAGGACGUACUAACUUGCGAUAAGCGCAGAUAAGGCAGUAAGAGCCGUUUGAGUCUGCGAUUUCCGAAUGGGGAAACCCAACUGCAUAAGCAGUUACUGUUAACUGAAUACAUAGGUUAACAGAGCAAACCGGGGGAACUGAAACAUCUAAGUACCCCGAGGAGAAGAAAUCAACCGAGAUUCCGGUAGUAGCGGCGAGCGAACCUGGAUUAGCCCUUAAGCACUCGGUGAAGUAGGUGAACAAGCUGGAAAGCUUGGCGAUACAGGGUGAUAGCCCCGUAACCGACGCUUCAUCGAGCGUGAAAUCGAGUAGGGCGGGACACGUGAUAUCCUGUCUGAAUAUGGGGGGACCAUCCUCCAAGGCUAAAUACUCCUGACUGACCGAUAGUGAACCAGUACCGUGAGGGAAAGGCGAAAAGAACCCCUGUGAGGGGAGUGAAAUAGAACCUGAAACCGUGUACGUACAAGCAGUAGGAGCACCUUCGUGGUGUGACUGCGUACCUUUUGUAUAAUGGGUCAGCGACUUAUAUUCAGUGGCAAGGUUAACCGUAUAGGGGAGCCGUAGCGAAAGCGAGUCUUAACUGGGCGCUCAGUCUCUGGAUAUAGACCCGAAACCGGGUGAUCUAGCCAUGGGCAGGUUGAAGGUUGAGUAACAUCAACUGGAGGACCGAACCGACUAAUGUUGAAAAAUUAGCGGAUGACUUGUGGCUAGGGGUGAAAGGCCAAUCAAACUCGGAGAUAGCUGGUUCUCCCCGAAAGCUAUUUAGGUAGCGCCUCGGACGAAUACUACUGGGGGUAGAGCACUGUUAAGGCUAGGGGGUCAUCCCGACUUACCAACCCUUUGCAAACUCCGAAUACCAGUAAGUACUAUCCGGGAGACACACGGCGGGUGCUAACGUCCGUCGUGGAGAGGGAAACAACCCAGACCGCCAGCUAAGGUCCCAAAGUAUUGCUAAGUGGGAAACGAUGUGGGAAGGCUCAGACAGCUAGGAUGUUGGCUUAGAAGCAGCCAUCAUUUAAAGAAAGCGUAAUAGCUCACUAGUCGAGUCGGCCUGCGCGGAAGAUGUAACGGGGCUAAGCAAUACACCGAAGCUGCGGCAAUGUCUUUUAGACAUUGGGUAGGGGAGCGUUCUGUAAGCCGUUGAAGGUGAAUCGUAAGGUUUGCUGGAGGUAUCAGAAGUGCGAAUGCUGACAUGAGUAACGACAAAGGGGGUGAAAAACCUCCUCGCCGGAAGACCAAGGGUUCCUGUCCAACGUUAAUCGGGGCAGGGUGAGUCGACCCCUAAGGUGAGGCCGAAAGGCGUAAUCGAUGGGAAACGGGUUAAUAUUCCCGUACUUCUGACUAUUGCGAUGGGGGGACGGAGAAGGCUAGGUGGGCCAGGCGACGGUUGUCCUGGUUCAAGUGCGUAGGCUUGAGAGUUAG
rnacentral:rRNA from 1 species